UUUCAAUAUAAAACAGUUAUUUUUCAUAAAAGAAAAUAUAAUUUUGAUUAAUUUACCUACGACUUUGGUUCCGCUCUUUCCAUUCCAUGAUCUCGCUCCUCUCCUCUCUCCAGGAACUCUGUCUAUCCCCGGACCGCAAGUUAGAUCCUUUUUCCUGGGCCAAGUUACCUAUGCCUUCCGAGCCCUUAAAAGUUUCCCUAGGAUUCGAUCCCUCCACCUUAUUUUCAUUGAAGAGGAAGACCAAAAAUUUGAUCUUAAGUGGAAGGCCGUGUUCAGAUCUAAUACUUGUUCAUGUGCGUGUCUUGUAUACAAUUCGAUUGCUAAACUUUCUUCUGUGAGUGGGAGUGUUAGUGCUACUACUACAGCUGCUGAUAGUGAUACAAUAACUUCUACGGCUUUCAGGUACAUCGUGACCCCAAAUUUGUGGCGUAAGCUUUUGGAGGUUCGUUAUCCUUUGGUUGAUAGUGUUGUAAUUACUGAUUCUAAAAGGCAAGGGAAGGUCUGUUAUAGAAACUUAGAGCCUCGUGAUGCCAGAACAUAUAGCACUGUUUUGGAUAUAUGGAACAAUAGUUUUGGGGAAGGUCAAACAAGUUUUAAGUUUAUUGAGACACCAGAGUUGCGUCUUCCCAAGUCAGGGUUUAUAAUGAAGGGGGUCUAUCUUGCCAUUUGUAAGGUCGGGGAGAAUUCAACUGAAGACGAUGAUAUUCUGAGCUGUAGUUUUGGAGAGGAAGAGAUUGUGUUUGGCGAAGCUUUAACCUUGGUUUUGGGAACCCCCAAGGACAAAAUGAGGGUUUCUCGUCGGUAUAUAAAUGGAUUCCAUGUUUCGAAUAUCAAUAUAAUUUGAGAGUUAUUUAUCUACAUUUGAACUAUGUGUCUACCUUUAAAAUUUCCUGAAUCAUUUUGCUUCAACUCUAAGUUGAGCUAUUACUAGCUCAUGUGCUUGUAGCAGAUAAUGCAAUUCAGUUAUUAUGUUUGAUGAGGCUGAACCUGGUUUUAAAGAUAUUGUAUGGCAUAUUUUGGUUCA